rnacentral:rRNA from 1 species
CAGAUUGAACGCUGGCGGCAGGCCUAACACAUGCAAGUCGAGCGGUAGCACAGAGAGCUUGCUCUCGGGUGACGAGCGGCGGACGGGUGAGUAAUGUCUGGGAAACUGCCUGAUGGAGGGGGAUAACUACUGGAAACGGUAGCUAAUACCGCAUAACGUCGCAAGACCAAAGUGGGGGACCUUCGGGCCUCAUGCCAUCAGAUGUGCCCAGAUGGGAUUAGCUAGUAGGUGGGGUAACGGCUCACCUAGGCGACGAUCCCUAGCUGGUCUGAGAGGAUGACCAGCCACACUGGAACUGAGACACGGUCCAGACUCCUACGGGAGGCAGCAGUGGGGAAUAUUGCACAAUGGGCGCAAGCCUGAUGCAGCCAUGCCGCGUGUGUGAAGAAGGCCUUCGGGUUGUAAAGCACUUUCAGCGGGGAGGAAGGCGGUGAGGUUAAUAACCUCAUCGAUUGACGUUACCCGCAGAAGAAGCACCGGCUAACUCCGUGCCAGCAGCCGCGGUAAUACGGAGGGUGCAAGCGUUAAUCGGAAUUACUGGGCGUAAAGCGCACGCAGGCGGUCUGUCAAGUCGGAUGUGAAAUCCCCGGGCUCAACCUGGGAACUGCAUUCGAAACUGGCAGGCUAGAGUCUUGUAGAGGGGGGUAGAAUUCCAGGUGUAGCGGUGAAAUGCGUAGAGAUCUGGAGGAAUACCGGUGGCGAAGGCGGCCCCCUGGACAAAGACUGACGCUCAGGUGCGAAAGCGUGGGGAGCAAACAGGAUUAGAUACCCUGGUAGUCCACGCCGUAAACGAUGUCGAUUUGGAGGUUGUGCCCUUGAGGCGUGGCUUCCGGAGCUAACGCGUUAAAUCGACCGCCUGGGGAGUACGGCCGCAAGGUUAAAACUCAAAUGAAUUGACGGGGGCCCGCACAAGCGGUGGAGCAUGUGGUUUAAUUCGAUGCAACGCGAAGAACCUUACCUGGUCUUGACAUCCACAGAACUUUCCAGAGAUGGAUUGGUGCCUUCGGGAACUGUGAGACAGGUGCUGCAUGGCUGUCGUCAGCUCGUGUUGUGAAAUGUUGGGUUAAGUCCCGCAACGAGCGCAACCCUUAUCCUUUGUUGCCAGCGGUUAGGCCGGGAACUCAAAGGAGACUGCCAGUGAUAAACUGGAGGAAGGUGGGGAUGACGUCAAGUCAUCAUGGCCCUUACGACCAGGGCUACACACGUGCUACAAUGGCAUAUACAAAGAGAAGCGACCUCGCGAGAGCAAGCGGACCUCAUAAAGUAUGUCGUAGUCCGGAUUGGAGUCUGCAACUCGACUCCAUGAAGUCGGAAUCGCUAGUAAUCGUAGAUCAGAAUGCUACGGUGAAUACGUUCCCGGGCCUUGUACACACCGCCCGUCACACCAUGGGAGUGGGUUGCAAAAGAAGUAGGUAGCUUAACCUUCGGGAGGGCGCUUACCACUUUGUGAUUCAUGACUGGGGUGA